rnacentral:rRNA from 1 species
GAUGAACGCUGGCGGUGUGCCUAAUACAUGCAAGUCGAGCGAACAGACGAGGAGCUUGCUCCUCUGACGUUAGCGGCGGACGGGUGAGUAACACGUGGAUAACCUACCUAUAAGACUGGGAUAACUUCGGGAAACCGGAGCUAAUACCGGAUAAUAUAUUGAACCGCAUGGUUCAAUAGUGAAAGACGGUUUUGCUGUCACUUAUAGAUGGAUCCGCGCCGCAUUAGCUAGUUGGUAAGGUAACGGCUUACCAAGGCAACGAUGCGUAGCCGACCCGAGAGGGUGAUCGGCCACACUGGAACUGAGACACGGUCCAGACUCCUACGGGAGGCAGCAGUAGGGAAUCUUCCGCAAUGGGCGAAAGCCUGACGGAGCAACGCCGCGUGAGUGAUGAAGGUCUUCGGAUCGUAAAACUCUGUUAUUAGGGAAGAACAAAUGUGUAAGUAACUAUGCACGUCUUGACGGUACCUAAUCAGAAAGCCACGGCUAACUACGUG